rnacentral:rRNA from 1 species
GACGAACGCUGGCGGCGUGCCUAAUACAUGCAAGUAGAACGCUGAAGAGAGGAGCUUACUCUUCUUGGAUGAGUUGCGAACGGGUGAGUAACGCGUAGGUAACCUGCCUUGUAGCGGGGGAUAACUAUUGGAAACGAUAGCUAAUACCGCAUAACAAUGGAUGACACAUGUCAUUUAUUUGAAAGGGGCAAUUGCUCCACUACAAGAUGGACCUGCGUUGUAUUAGCUAGUAGGUGAGGUAAUGGCUCACCUAGGCGACGAUACAUAGCCGACCUGAGAGGGUGAUCGGCCACACUGGGACUGAGACACGGCCCAGACUCCUACGGGAGGCAGCAGUAGGGAAUCUUCGGCAAUGGGGGCAACCCUGACCGAGCAACGCCGCGUGAGUGAAGAAGGUUUUCGGAUCGUAAAGCUCUGUUGUAAGUCAAGAACGGGUGUGAGGGUGGAAAGUUCACACUGUGACGGUAGCUUACCAGAAAGGGACGGCUAACUACGUG